UAAACUAAACUGUCGCACAAUCAGCUUCUAUAAUUACCAGCAAUGGUUUAUGAUAGGUUCGAGCAAACAGAGGGUUUGAUUUUUUUUUUUUUUUUUUUUGCCAGAGUUGUAGUUUCUUUUUGUAGAAACAAUUAUCAUAGCAGUGCUUCCCAGCAAAGGGAAAACAUAGCCUGAAGCCAUUGCAUAUUUCAUUUUCAGUCCAGCAGUUUUAGAGUUCUUCCUUUCCCUAUUGACUAUUCAAUGGGAGGAAAAGACAGCUGAAGAUUCUGGGUGUCUCACAAAGCAGGCAUCAAGGCCACCAGAAGCUGGACAAAAAGAUUGCUGCCCUGUCUGUUCCCAGCUUCUGAACAUGCACAUUUGUCCACAGGAAGUAAAGGCAGCAUCGGGAUCUCAUGUCAGAACCAAAUUAAUGCACCCCCUCUCCAGCAACAGAUGUCAUGAUGUAAUCUCAGCAUUCCACCAAGAAAAUCUCCAAAAAAGGAAAAGCAAAUGAGCAGGGCUGUUUCUGAGGAUAUGAAAUACUUUACAAUUAAAUAAGGAAGAAGAGGAAACAUUCCAGACAGAAGCAAUCUCUUACUGCAAGAGAAUAAGAAGUAAUAAGAAUUUUCAUCAUUUGAAAUGCAGCCAUGUGGCAAUUUUAUCCAUCCAGAACAACUGACAUACAGUAAAUACUUAACAUGUAGCAGAUUCUGCUGUGUUUUUUGAUGUCUUGUUAUAUUAAAUCUCUUCAACCACACUAUGAGGUAGGUGUGUCUUUCCUUCUCAUUCUGUGAAGUAAGGAAAUGGAGUCAUAGAGAAGUUACAUGUGCAGGCCUCAUAGCUAGUACAUGCUGGAAGUGCAUUCCGCCUCUGGGACCUGGAAUCUUUAUUCUUAACCAUUUCAGAACAUGACCUCUGUUCAGUUGGAAUAGAGUAGAGGAAUGAAUUGCAAGAAAGCGCAAACAUACUCUGAG
rnacentral:lncRNA from 1 species